rnacentral:rRNA from 1 species
UACGUAGGUGGCAAGCGUUACUCGGAAUUACUAGGCGUAAAGCGCAGGUAGGCGGUCUGAAAAGUUUCUUGUGAAAGCUCCCGGCUCAACUGGGAGAGGCCAAGGAAAACUGUCAGGCUAGAGUGUGGCAGAGGAAGCUAGAAUUCCUGGUGUAGCGGUGAAAUGCGUAGAUAUCGGGAGGAACACCUGUGGCGAAAGCGGCUCACUGGACCACAACUGACGCUGAUGCGCGAAAGCUAGGGGAGCAAACAGG